rnacentral:rRNA from 1 species
AUUGAACGCUGGCGGCAGGCCUAACACAUGCAAGUCGAGCGGAUGAGAGGAGCUUGCUUCUCGAUUCAGCGGCGGACGGGUGAGUAAUGCCUAGGAAUCUGCCUGGUAGUGGGGGACAACGUUUCGAAAGGAACGCUAAUACCGCAUACGUCCUACGGGAGAAAGCAGGGGACCUUCGGGCCUUGCGCUAUCAGAUGAGCCUAGGUCGGAUUAGCUAGUUGGUGAGGUAAUGGCUCACCAAGGCGACGAUCCGUAACUGGUCUGAGAGGAUGAUCAGUCACACUGGGACUGAGACACGGUCCAGACUCCUACGGGAGGCAGCAGUGGGGAAUAUUGGACAAUGGGCGAAAGCCUGAUCCAGCCAUGCCGCGUGUGUGAAGAAGGUCUUCGGAUUGUAAAGCACUUUAAGUUGGGAGGAAGGGUCGUAGAUUAAUACUCUGCAAUUCUGACGUUACCGACAGAAUAAGCACCGGCUAACUCUGUGCCAGCCGCCGCCGUAAAAC